rnacentral:rRNA from 1 species
AUACGGAGGGUGCAAGCGUUACUCGGAAUCACUGGGCGUAAAGCGCGCGCAGGCGGUCUUUUAAGUUAGAUGUGAAAGCCUACGGCUCAACCGUAGAACUGCAUCCAAAACUAUUAGACUAGAGUGUGGGAGAGGAAGAUGGAAUUAGUUGUGUAGGGGUAAAAUCCGUAGAGAUAACUAGGAAUACCAAAAGCGAAGGCAAUCUUCUGGAACACUACUGACGCUGAGGCGCGAAGGCGUGGGGAGCAAACAGGGUUAGAAACCCCAGUAGUCC